UAUUUCUUGGGAAAUCAACUACAAGGUAACUGAAAUCCCGCAGUGGAAAUAAGGAAGUGACACGAACAUUAAAGAUGGAGGAUUGGAGCUGAAAGAAGGAGAGAGGUUGCUAUCUGUUCCCUGUUGGUGUAUCUGAAGGAAAAAGAAGAGGAUCUCUUCAGAGAAGACUUGGAUGGUGAAGUGCAGCUUCCUGGAUGGGUUAUGAAGAUUGUUGUCAUCAGGAGCCCAGUACUGUCUGACCCAGCCAGGGCAAAGAUGGUCACAGACGGGACAGAUGUCAUGUAUCUGUAUAAUUAAAAUCAUUUAAGAGACAUUGUAGGAUGUAUUGAGCAUUUAAAUUAAGCUGGACAUUUUUUAUCGUUUUCUUGUUAAUUU